AUGCAGAAGCACAGACUGGCACCAGGAGCGGGCAGACUGGCUGCUGCGCCUGCGUCCCGCGGCUAUUUCUGGCGUGCAGAGACUGAGCGGUGUCUGCUGGGCCAAACGGCAGCCGAUGAGGAUAACGAGAGUAAUCUGGACAUAGCAGCUGUCUUCCGAGGACCUCAAAACUCUCUGUGGAUAUGCUUCUCUCUGCAAAAUUCCUCUCACUCCAUUUCUAUGAGAACUAUUCCUGCAAACCGGGUCCCUAAGAGGAUUAGCGAAGGGGAUACCAAUUUAUUUAUACCCACCUCAGCAUGGUAGCAGCCAAACACUCACAGAGUACCCUGAGAGCGUAACAGUAACAGCUCGGUACAUUGGUGCUUGACCUCAGCUGAGAUCCCAGCAUGCCUCAUGCUUCCAAGUUUAAAAC
rnacentral:lncRNA from 1 species